CAUUAUUUUGCUGUACAAAAAGAAUAAGACUCUGAAAUAUUAUGCAAUUAGCUUGUGAAGGAAAUCAAAAAUGCAGGUGGGCAUAAAUAUAGGGAUUGGGAAUUCAAUGUAAUGGUUUUUAGUCAUCUCCCAGAGUUCUUUUUCUGGGCAUAGCUGGUUAGUUCAUUACUGCUCCAUUGGAAAUGAUUUGGUUGAUCUCGUUGCUGAGGAUGGCCAGGUCCAUCAGAACUGGUCAUCAUAUAGUAUUGUUGUUGAACUAUAUAAUGAUCUCCUGGUCCUGCUCAUUUCACUCAGCAUCAGUUCGUGUAAGUCUCUCCAGGCCUUUCUGAAAUCAUCCUGUUGGUCAUUUCUUACAGAGCAGUAAUAUUCCAUAAUAUUCAUAUACCACAAUUUAUUCAGCCAUUCUCCAACUGAUGGACAUCCAUUCAGUUUCCAGUUUUUAGCCACUAUAAAAUGGGCUGCCACAAACAUUCGUGCACAUACAGGUCCCUUUCCCUUCUUUAUAAUCUCUUUGGGAUAUAAUCCCAGUAGUAACACUGCUGGAUCAAAGGGUAUGCACAGUUUGAUAACUUUUUGAGCAUAAUUCUGAACUACUCUCCAAAAUGGUUGGAUUCGCUCACAACUCCACCAACAAUGCAUCAAUGUCCCAGUUUUCCCGCAUCCCCUCCAACAAUCAUCAUUAUUUUUUCCUGUCAUCUUAGCCAAUCUGACAGGUAUGUAGUGGUAUCGUAGAGUUGUCUUAAUUUGCAUUUUUCUGAUUAAUAAUGACUUGGAGCUUCUUUUCAUAUGACUAGAAAUAGUUUCAAUUUCUUCAUCUGAGAAUUGUCUGUUCAUAUCCUUUGACCAUUUUUCAAUUGGAGAAUGGCUUGAUUUUUUAUAAAUUAGAGUUAAUUCUCUAUAUAUUUUGGAGAUGAGGCCUUUAUCAGAACCUUUGACUGUAAAAAUAUUUUCCCAGUUUAUUGCUUCCCUUCUAAUCUUGUCUGCAUUAGUUUUGUUUGUACAAAAACUUUUCAGUUUGGUAUAAUCGAAAUUUUCUAUUUUGUGAUCAGUAAUGAUUUCUAGUUCUUCUUUGGUCAUAAAGACCUUCCCCUUCCACAGGUCUGAGAGGUAAACUAUCCUGUGUUCCUCUAAUUUAUUAAUAAUUUCAUUCUUUAUGCCUAGGUCAUGAACCCAUUUUGACCUUAUCUUGGUGAACGGUGUUAAAGUAUGGAUCAAUGCCUAGUUUCUGCCAUAUUAGUUUCCAAUUUUCCCAGCAAUUUUUAUCAAACAGUAAGUUCUUAACCCAAAAGCUGGGAUC
rnacentral:lncRNA from 1 species